CAGCCGCCGCGGUAAUACGUAGGUGGCAAGCGUUAUCCGGAAUUAUUGGGCGUAAAGGGCUCGCAGGCGGUUUCUUAAGUCUGAUGUGAAAGCCCCCGGCUCAACCGGGGAGGGUUAUUGGAAACUGGGAAACUUGAGUGCAGAAGAGGAGAGUGGAAUUCCACGUGUAGCGGUGAAAUGCGUAGAGAUGUGGAGGAACACCAGCGGCGAAGGUGACUCUCUGGUCUGUAACUGACGCUGAGGAGCGAAAGCGUUGGGAGCGAACAGGAUUAGAUACCCCCGUAGUCCCUGUCUCUUAUAC
rnacentral:rRNA from 1 species